AUUGAACGCUGGCGGCAGGCUUAACACAUGCAAGUCGAGCGAGCGGCGGACGGGUGAGUAAUGUCUGGGAAACUGCCUGAUGGAGGGGGAUAACUACUGGAAACGGUAGCUAAUACCGCAUACCAUCAGAUGUGCCCAGAAGGGAUUAGCUAGUAGGUGGGGUAAUGGCUCAACUAGGCGACGAUCCCUAGCUGGUCUGUGAGGAUGACCGGCCCAACUGGAACUGGGACACGGUCCAGACUCCUACGGGAGGCAGUAGUGGGGAAUAUUGCACAAUGGGCGCAAGCCGGAUGCAGCCAUGCCGCGUGUGUGAAGAAGGCCUUCGGGUUGUAAAGCACUGUCAGCGAGGAGGCGUUACUCGCAGGAGAAGCACCGGCUAACUCCGUGCCAGCAGCCGCAGUAAUUC
rnacentral:rRNA from 1 species